AAUCUUGAAAAAUUGAUAAACUUCAAAUUCACAGAUUCAUGUAUUUUUCUUCCCACAGCAACUUCUCCAUCUUCAUUGCUAGAUUCAAACUUUAAAACUACUCUGUGAGGAAAUGAAAUGUGACUUUCCGAAAUAACUUCUAGCCCAAGGAGAUGGUGGAGGAGUGUGCCUGAGAGAGGCAUCACCACCGGAAAUGGUUGUUGGAGCAGGUGUACUUGUAAGAACCCAGGAAUUGUAAAAUGCACUCCAUAGGAGUGACCACGAUGCUCAGGAGAAUGAGCUGGUUCUCAGAAGGCACCACGGCGGAGAGACGCCAGUGAUUACACUGGUCCUCAGAGGAACAUCGUGAAAUGGGCAGGAGCUCCAACAUUGCUAAUGGUAUGGACGCAAUGUAUGGAAGCCAUUUUAAGAACUGUGACCUUGAUAAGACCAUCGCUGCUUCUUCUACUUGAUUCCGACCAUUAUAUAUUAUGACUUGCUCAGACUGAAUACCUUGGCUUCUUACUGGAAAUUUGGAAACAGAAGCAGAAUUUCGGUAUACAACUGCAAAUUAGAAAGGGAUGACUAAUACUAGGAACUGUAAAUCCAAACCAUAGCUGCCACCACCAAAGUUAUAGUAUUAAUAAAACUAAUAUUAGUGAAAUGGUAAUAUUAAUAAGGUAGGACACAGCCAAGUCAUAAACACUAACCUACCCAUAUGCAUAUGAUGCCCAAGUGGCAAAAUUA
rnacentral:lncRNA from 1 species